AAAAACUCCUGUCUUCUUAAUUUAGAUUCAUGUCCUUUUUUCAUUUCAUGUAUUUUAAAGCAAGUCCCAAGAGCUCGUCCUCGAGAGAGCUCCAAACCGAACAGACCAGAUUUAAAGCACUCAGUGGAAAUGGAAAACCAUAACUUUAAUAACAGACUGGUGUCACCUCCUCUUUUGAGUCCUUGAAAUUCCGUGUGGGCCUCAGGCCAGGGGCCCUUUGGGAUCCCUUCCCUCGGGAGCCGCAGUGGUUUCCCCGUUGAGUCGCGUGGCUCAAGGUCGACAUUUUUCAGGUGAGCAGCAGCUGCUCUCGGGUACACAGCAGAACACUGAAUUCCUUUUUGGAAAGGGAUUCCUUUUUCAUCCAGCCCCCCCGGGUGCAUGCACUGAAACUGGGCUUUUUAACAGGUGUAUUUCCCUGAUUUCCCGGUGUAUCCCAUAUGUGCACUUUGGGUUUGUAGCAGUGACUAGGUUUGGUGAAGAGCUGAGGACUUUGUUGCAAACCAGGAAUGUCUUGUGCUCACUCUGGUGUGCAGGAAACAAGGAGGUGCUUUAAGGAGAACUUGAGUUAUAUUGUGAGGUUUUGGUUUUACUGCCUUUUUUGUUGUUGUUUUGUUUUGUUUUCUAAGAGUUGCAGGUUCAGUGGGGUCUGGUUCCACAAUGCAAACUGAGCAAGUAAGUGCUUCUCUCCAGAGAUGCUUUUCAUUCUGUGAUAAUUUAAUUACAUAAAAGUUCUCAUUAACAUUUUACCUCUUUGUUAAUAGCAAGGAACUGCUGUCUGCUAGGGACUUUUCAGGUACAGUGUGCAGUGGGCAUUACAUGAGGUUUAUCAUGGGCACCUGGAGUAAAAUGGUUUUAGCAUCCUGGAGAAAUAUGCAAAAUACUCCGAGAUGCUGAGGUUUGAGCUCUUGUUCUUGUGAUUCAAGGAUGAAACAGUUUGCAGGUUGUUUUUUUUUUUUUCCAAAGAACAUAGUUAAUUUUUUCUUAAUUUCCCCAAUCACUGGGCACUUUUCUCCAGCUGUCUUAGCACCUUUGGUAAUUCAGGCAUUUAGGAGGGGAGAAGGGAUCUCAAUCCCUGAUGUGAUCUAAUUCCAUGAUACUCUGUUUAACAACCAAAAGGAUGUUACAGCAGCUUCUAAACUGAAGUGUAAAUCUCACUGUAUCUCUUUACAGGCCCUAAAAUUGUAAUCUUGCACUUAAACCCAGAAUGUAAUCUUGCACUUAGCCAUGUUUUCAGGGAUUUGGGCAACGGAGAAGCGACGCUGCCUCUCUUGGUCCAUGCUCCAGUAGAUUCCUUGGAUAACUGAUACAGGCAUGAGUUGAUUUCUGUUACAACUUGCAUGGCAAAAAUCAAAUUCAAAGUGUGGAAUAGGAUGCGAAUAGGAGACAAAGGAGGAAAUGUCUUGAAUGUAUUUUAUGGGUGUAACUGAACUUGCUUGAGUUUCUGUCACAAAAAUAGGGAUUUUUCUUACUGCACCACUUGUCAGAGAGGGCUGUGGUUUAAGAGGGCUUUGGUUCCUUUAUCUGCCCAGAAUGAGUGGACCCAGCAUCUCAAACAUCAUGGUGAACUGAGAAUUCCAAUGUGGCAGCAUCUCUUAAACACAGAUUUUGUUUUUUAUAGCUACUUUUCUUUCUAAAUGAAAAGGUGAAAGCCUCACUUAAUGCUCUUAAAUUUGAGAGUAAAAUCCAGGAUUUUCUGGGUUGUCCUUCAAUGUGAAUGUAAGAGAUGGCAGAAUUCAGCUGUUCAGCUUACUAUUAACAAGGAGAAUUUUUAGGAAUGACAGCAGAAAUGCAAAUCACUGUGUUUAAGAAGAUACUGCGUGUUUACCACUUACUGCAAAGAAUGUUUUAAUUGGAGCAGGUGCCUGUUGUGUGUCAGCAGGUGAUCAAUGCUGCAAGUGCUGCUUGCAUUCAGAGGGUGUUUUUUGGGAGAUUUCUGUCAUCUGACAGAAAUCACUUGCAAGAGUUUUCUAGGAAAGAGACUUGAACAGCUAAGAAUUUAAAUCUGCCCAAAACCGGGGAAAUAAAAGCACUAAAGUUUGUGUUGGACACUGAGAGCAGCAUUUGUUCUGCUGAUCCGCAGCAGGCACCUGCUUAAAAACCCAUAAAACUUGGGGUCAACAUAGCUUGUUAAAGCCAGCUUGGUUUGGGAAGCCUUCUGGGAAGAGCAUGCUAGGUGCACUUCCAUUUUUCCUUGGGAAAUCACGGUGGUUCCACCUGCCCCUGGCUGUGAAAUUGUGCUGUGCUGGAGGGCGAGGAGGAGCAGGCGAGGCUGUGUUUGACUCCAGGUUUUCUGGUUCCUUAUUUAAUGGAGCACCUGCUUCUUUGAAUCUGGUUUAUUUGUGGUUGCUGCUCUGUUUUGUAAGCAAGGAUUUUAACACCCUUUGAGGGUUCUUGUGGCAAAACUUUGAAAGGUUUUUUUUUGCCAGCACUGAAUUCCUGUGCUGCCAUCCUGGCUGGGCGGGCUGUGCUUUCCUCCUUGGUCUGAGGUGUUCCCCAUUGGAGUAACUGUCCACUGAAGCUGGCUUAGCCAGGGCUGAAGGUUUAGAAGCCUGUGGGUGAUACCACUGUGUGUAGAGCAAACCAGAUGUAGCAGUUGUUGGCUCUCUCCUUGUGUCUGGCAUUAAGUUGCUCUGGUGAGAGCUCAGUAUUCCCUCCCGACCUUGUGUGCAGCUGAUGUUCUUCUGUUUCAUUAGUGUGUUGAAUUAGCCUGGAAAAAGGAUGUGCUUUUCCUGAAUCAUUUCAUCCUUGUGCUUUAUGCUUUGGGGAAAGAACCUCAAAUGACUCGUGGUUCUGUUUGAGAUUUUAGUUUGUUGUUUAUUUCUUUCAAUUGGAAACUUUGCGUAACUUCCUUGGCCCCUGGCCAGUGGCUUUGUUUGCCACAGGAACACUGAGGUUAUCCUCAAUCCAGAGGUUUUAGGGGCACAAAUACCAACACAUCCUUGUCAGCCUCCCAGAGAGAAAAGGGCAUUAUUGCCAGGCAGACAAACCUUGCCCUCUCUCUCUUUUGUUUCCUUCAAGGAUGUUAAAGAUGGAAUAUUUCGGUGACAACUUUCUUGGCCUCUACGGAGAGCCAAGUUUUAUAAAGAACGAGUUUUAAUUUCUUGUGUGGUUUUGGGAACCCUCUGGUUGAUGGUAACUGAGGUGAAAGGCCUGAGGUGUUAAUGGGGAGGAGGAGUGAAUCAAAAUUGUGAAGACAAGUUCAAAAACUCUGAGGACUCAGGGAAAAAUGCCUUGGAAAAUGAUAGUUCCUGGCUCUAAGCAAAGCAGUGUGGAGGGCAGUGCUCCUGGGGAGUGCCCAGAGGGGAAGAAAUGGUUGCCAUGUGGCUCUAGAGCUUUUGGGGUUCUUUCCCCUUUGUCCCCCUGUUUAUUUCUUUAUAGCACUGAAGGACAGAUAUUCCAAUGAUUGGUAGACUGAACGAUGAGGUGAUUUUUGUAUCAGGCUUAAAGCAGACCGGGUGGUGCAGAGAAUGGUUCAUUGAAUAUUCAUCUUCCCACAGUUCCCAUUGUGUGAAAACGAUGGCUAGGAGAUAUGACUUGAAUAGUAACAAUUUUAAAUUUUAUUGGGUGUGUCUUUGAUUUGACCUUUUAAUAUUGGCAUUGUCUGCUGUUAGAACUGCAUAGCAGAAGGAGAGCAAAAGAGCUGUGUAACACUACAUUUCAUGGUUUUGUUGAUAAGUUGCCUUCAGGAAAUACCCAGUGAGGAAAGUCAACCGAAUUAGCAAGAAUUAGGUUGGUUUUUCUCCUGGUUAAUGAUUUCGAUGUGCCCCAACAAAUGUUACUGCAAGUUGAGUAAUCAUCAGUACUGUCAGCCUAGUUUUAUCCUGGUCCAAAAAGAAACCCUGCACUACUUGUUUUGCAUCUGUCCCUAGAAGGCAACUUCAUUCCGAGGUUUCCUGCCCAUGGGUGGUAUUGGUGCUUUUUGAAGUCCAAGUAGAAUAUUCAGAAAGGCCUCGUAGCUCUUUAUGUUCAUCUGUAUAAUGUAGGGAAGGGAAAAACCCAAAUCUGGUGUACACAUUUGUAUUGAAAUAACGUUUUUUUUCCUCCUGCAAGCAAAUCUGGUGGACUGCAGAAGACAACCGCAUGGGAUACCAAGCUCUAAUGGACCUUUGGGAAGAGAAGCUGUGGCUUAUGUGGAAUUUACAUGGGCCUCCUGGUGGAAGAAAGCUUAUCUGUUUAGUAUUUGUGCAUUUUACUAAAAUGGCAGCUUUAAAAAAAAAAAAAAGUUGUGUAUCUGCUAUUGUGAUGCCAAUGCCCGUGUUUUAAGUGGAAAAAAAAAAUGACCUCUUUGCUUUGUGCUGUGUACACAAGAUUGCUGGAAAAGUAAAGGAAUACCCUUUUUAUGGCUCACACAGCUUAAAAGUAGCUGUCACUCAAACAUGCGCUCACAGUUGAGCUGAUUUUGUUUCAUUCUAAAUAAAUUGUUUCUUUUGAGGAAAAUGGUUUUUCUGCCUGGAAGUGAAUUGACGACAAACGUUUGGCCCCCCCUGUGUUGGCAGCGGAGGGGUUCCUGCUGCUGCUGCCCAAUUGAGCUGAUAGUUGUGGGUCUUGAGCAAGAAGCAGGGAGAGCACCGACACUUUUGCGUUGAUCGACCUGUGGUACCAGUCAGAAGAAUUUGUGUCUGAUGGCCUUGCUGUGGCCCCCGUGUUUGCAGUGAAAAUGGGGUCACUUGCUGCGUUUCUCCUCAGCGGGACGGGGCACGCAAGAAGCAGGGAAGCACCACCCUGCGCCUCGGAACGGUGGCCAAGUCUGGGGCUUCGCUGGUUGGAAGAGCUGGAGUUCCUGAAUUUUAAGUUUCUCUGAUUUAUUUUGUUCACCCAACAUGUUUGCCUUUAGUUUUGAUUCUUGGUUUUUUGUUUUUUUUUUAAUUUUGAAGAAAAAAAAAGUUUUGAAAUUGCUUUGAAUCUUGCACGUAAAACCUUUGCACCAAAAUUGCCAAAAGAAAAAGAGAAAUGAGUCCUUAAAAGUGUUUAAAUGCUGUUAAUAAAGCCUUUCCUGCCGUACGCGAGGCGCUCCUCCAUCUCCAGGGGCUUUUCAGCAGUUGUGGGUUUAGUGCUGAAUGGAUGAAGAGUUCCUGAGAGCUGGAGGCGGUAAUUUAAACCUUUGCGUGGUGUCUCAGUGCCUUAUUUUGACCGGUUUUGAAGCCAGUGGUUCCACACGCCUCGGAUGUGCAUGUGCCCUGCUCGCGUCCCGGCCCCGCCGCGCGCUCCGUGCAGUCGCUCCCGGUGUAGUGCAGACGGGGAGAGGAACAGCCUGAAAACGUUGUGUGCUGUAGUUCUCCUGUCCCGGGGGUUCCUGAGCUUUGGAAAGCUGUUCCCGUGCAGGAGCACAACUCCGUGUUUGCUGCAGGAGGACCGCGGCCGUCGAGAGGAAGCCGCAACUGCUGCGUCGUCGGCUUCAGGAGCUCCCGUGCUGCGCUCGUGGUAGAAUUCCUGUGAUUUGCCAUGAAGACACCUUGAACGUUUGCCCUGUUUGCCUUGACACACUUUAACUUCCAUGGAUAACCCCCUGCAGCCGGGCAGGAGCUUUGCUAGGCCGCAGAUGCCUCUCAGCCGACGGAUGCUGUGGUUGUGCUCUGCAAGGUGUCAAAGCGCUGUGUAAAUCCCUAAAACAGCCCCAGGUGUGAGCAGAGGAGUGUUUGACCACCAAGCCUGAGGCUGCUCAGUGGAAAAAACAAAAGUUUGAAGACUCUUCACCCCCUCCCAGCCCAGCAGAGGAUGGUGCAGGGCCCCUGGGAGGAGUUUCUCACUCGGGGCAUUGGUUUCCUCAACAAUUUUGGAUAGAUAAGAGGUCCUGUGUGCUGUGGCAAUAACUGUGCAUGGGAUGUGGAAUGGCCCCACUGCAGCAUCCUGCCCCCAGAGAGAGGAGCUCCUGGAGGAUCUCAUGGAAGGAAGGAUCACCCUGCCCUCCCUGUCCCUGCUCUCAUCCCUCCCCAGGGCCAGUGAACAGAAUGAGCUGGAAUCUCUGGCACUCAGAGCUGCUCAUCCCACGAGGUGAGUGAGUCAGGACGGAGCUGAGGAUUCAAUCUGAGAGGCACAAAAACCCAGCUCAGGAGCAGAGGCACCACGGGCUGCAUUUUCCCCAUACACUUCACACUGUGCAUUUCUCAGCUGCCUUUAAUCAGCACAAAUAUCCAGGUAUCCAAAAUGAGUCUGACAUCCAAAAUUUCCAAUUAUUUUGGAAUAUUCUGAUAUUUUCAGUGUUGCUGCUGUUGAUCCUUCCCAGUACAGGCAGUGGCUUUCCCACGGAGAUAUGAUCAAAGCCCAGCCUUUAAAACUUUAGUUUUUGUUCAAAUUGGCUUUCUUUAGCUUCCAUUUUUGGGCUGCAGGCUCGAAGAAGAAGGAGAUGGGUGAGAUGAGAGCACAGGCUCCAGCAAAGAGGAAGGAGCAGGCGUAGGUCUGGGUGUAGUCAUAGAGCCACCCUGCAGGAGAGAAGGUUGUUAUUAAAGCUGGGCGAUUUUUCUCAGUGAAAAAAAUAAUUCAAGGAGGUGGGUGGGCGGCAAAGGAUGUGUGUUCUCAUCUAAGAAUUGCUCAGAUAUUUCCCUUAAAUUAUUUUAACUCUUCCUGGGCAGCAUUUCCUGUAAGGAAAUGACAUGCAGGUCGUUUUUCCCAGAGCCAACUUUGAUCCUUGUAGUGGACAUGGUGUUUAAUUUGAUUGAACUUAAUCCCUGAUUUUUUUUUUUUUUUCCUGUUUAAGUAAGUGGGCCAAAAGUGGCUGAUGGAAGAUUCUCUUGGAUUGAAGGGAUGACUUGCACAUGUUGGUAUUUGCAACAUCUGGGCUGCAAACCCUCUGUUCUCCAGCCUUGUCUUCUUGUGAGCAGACCCAGUUUCAUGUCCUUUGUCUAACAGGAGACACCCCAGGCCAGGAGCUGGAAGUGAACUUGAUAAAAGGAGCUCUGGGAGGACUUCAAAGGAAAAGCUGAAUUCCAUUGAGCCUCAGGAAUGUCUGGAGGAUUCAGGUCACCUUUUAAAGUGACCUCCAAGUGUUGGGUUUGGUCCUGGCAAAUCAUCUGGGCUCUGGGCUGUCCUUUGAAAGGUGGAGAGUUCCUCUCUUUGAAUCUGAAAUCUGCAAAGUGCUGGGAGAUGCUGCUGCACAUAAAAACGCUAAUCCAGUCCCAAAUGUGGGGUGGGUGUGGGGGCAGCAGCUGAGCCAGAUCUGCUGCUGGUGUGAAAUGCAAUUCCUCUGGAGACAUCCAUGGAAUCCAGACAUCCACAGGCUUCCAUGAGUUCCACAGAUCUGGCCCAAACCUGGGCUUGUUAACCCCAGGAAGGGACAGGAUACAGUCCUGAGUUCCACAGACAGCAGAUCUGACCCAAACCUGGGCUCCUCAAGCCCAGGAAGGGACAGGAUACAGUCCUGAGUUCCACAGACAGCAGAUCUGACCCAAACCUGGGCUCCUCAAGCCCAGGAAGGGACAGGAUACAGUCCCUGAGGUCCUGGGCUCAGGGAGGGUGCCAGUGAGGUUUGGGAUCUGUGCUGGAGCAGAGGCACUGACAUUCCCUGCUGUGGAUUUCCACAGAAGGUUUUAUAAAGCACAGCACAGCUGCUUUUGCCCAGUUUCAGUUUCUCUUGGCUCACUGCUGCCUCUGGGGAGUCCCUGUGUUUGUUUGCUCCUCAGGGAUGGCCUGGGAGCCACGUGCUGGAGGAGAUGCAGCUGGAGAGGAGGAUCCACCCUGUGGUGGGAUCUAUCCCCUGUUGGGAUCCAGUCCCUGGUGGGAUCUGUCCCAUGGUGGGAUCUGUCCCCUCCUGGGAUCCAUGCCCUGGUGGGAUCCAUGCCAUAAUAGGAUCCAUCCUGUGAUGGGAUCCAUGCCCUGGUGGGACCCAUCCCCUGAUGGGAUCCAUCCCAUAGUGGGAUCUAUCCCAUGGUGGGAUCCAUCCCAUGGUGGGAUCCAUCCCGUGGUGGAAUCCACCCCUUGGUGGGACCCAUCCCCUGUGGGAUCCAUUCCAUGGUAGGAUCCAUCCCCUGCUGGGAUCCACCCCUUGGUGGGACCCAUCCUCUGCUGGGAUCUACCCUUUGGUGGAAUCCAUGCCCUGGUGGGAUCCCUCCCCUCGUGAGAUCCAUCUCAUGUUGGGAUCCAUGCCUUGUGGGAUCCACCCUUUGGUGGGAUCCAUCCCCUCUGGGAUCCAUCCCCUCCUGCGAUCCAUGCCCUGGUGGGAUCCAUCCUCUUCUGGGAUCCAUCCCAUGGUGGGAUCCACCCUUUGGUGGGGUCCAUCCCAUAGUAGGACCCAUCUCCUCAUGGGAUCCAUCCCCUGCUGCUGCACUCUGGGACUCUCCCACGACCCUGGGGUUCAUUCCCAGGCCUGGGAUCUGUUUCUGCUGCCUGGAAGUCUCUGGGAUUUGGAGAGGGGAUGCUGAUGUAGUUAUUUGUGAGAGGAACAGGACAGAGUGCUCCAGCUGAGCUCUGAUUUAUUGCAAUCCUUAAAAUAUCCUUCAGGAUAUUUCUUAAUUUUCUUUUUUUUUUUUUUAAUUUUCCUGGGGAUUUUUUUGGUGCUGGAUGGGAUUUAGGUGCAGUGGGAUUUACCAGCAUUGCCUCACUGGCAGCACAGCCACCAACUUCCAUCACACCCCAACCUUCUGAAGCAACUCCAGUCUCUGUGCCCCAAAUUCAUUUCCAAAACAAAACAAGAAUCACUCCUGCUGCAGAAAGCUGAACUGGGAGCUUGUGCUGUUCAAACCCCAGCAAAGCAGCAGUUUUGUGAGGAAUGCUGGUAAAUCCCAGCAAUGUAAUCCAAACUAAACAUUCCCAGCACUGCUGCUGCUACCAGCUGGGUCAGGCUCUUUAAAUGGUGCUGCUGAUCUUUAAUCAGAAGUUUUAUUUAUUCUUGAUGCCCUGAGGAGUAAAAUUCAGUGGGAAGGUGAAGGUAAAAUUUAGCAAACAUCUAAAUACGUGUGGCAGCAGAGCUUUUGAUGACUCCAUCCUCUCCCUUUUCACCACCCAAAUUUCUUGGGACUGGAGUUUGUCCUCUGGGGACUGGAAUCUUUUCUACAAUUUGCUUUACAUGCUUUGGUUCAGCUCUUUUGCAUUUGGAGUCAGUGAUUUGUACUGCUUGUGGAAGUAAACUGUGUCCUUCUCUCCUCAGCUUGCUCCAGGCUGCCAAAAUUAUGUUUAUUCUGCUUUGGGCUGGGUUUUUUCAGCAGCCAGAGGUGCCAGUGGAUGGGGAGCUCGGAAGGAGACUCCAAACUUUCCCUUUGGGUCCUGCCCCUGGAUUUCAGGGCUUUCAGCUGAACAGAUUUGCAGGUAAGUCACCUUUUCCUUGCAUUAGGCUUUGGUCUAAUAUGUAAAUUAGGCACUUUUAACCUUUGCAGUUCUCAUUAUCCAUCAUCAUUAUUUCCACUGUGUAAAAACACUUGAGUUUGAUGGAAUUGUAAUUCUAAACUCAAAGUUCUUGGGAGGUAAAAGCACCAAAUCCCAGGGUCUCACAGAGUAUUUAAAUGCUGCAUUCUGCAAGGAGCAGAAUGGUUUUGGACAUUUCAUCAGGAGUUUUUGGUCUCACUCAGUUUUCACAUUGAAAACUGCAUUGCAAGAGAAAAUUGCAGAAUUUUUCUUGGAUCCCAAGCCUGGAUCCUGAGCUCUGGGUUGUUUCCAUCUUGCUCUGCCUGUAAGGACAUGGAUCAGGAAUUGUUUUGCUUCUUGGCUUUAUUUGGCCCUUUAUUUAUCCCACCUGCCUUAAGCCUGAAUUCUGUGGAAAGCUUUUUGCAGGGAACUUGCUUUACAAACCCACUGCAGAGAGCAAAAACCUUCCCAUUAGUGCAGAAAUAUUGCAGCUGGAUGGAAAUUUAACUUUUUUAACUGCAAUGUGAGUGUGGCUAAGUGACAACCAGGGUGUUCAGCCCCUGCUGUGUUGCUGUACCAGGGGAUUCAGGGGAACUGAGGGAUUGUUUUGUGCUCAGUGCACACCCUGUACAGCAGCAGGGAUCUGCAAUCCAGGCUCUGCAUCACCCUGACACUGGCAAGCUCCUUGUCCAUGAAAUGUUUUGGCUCCUUGAAAUUGCAUCCACACACAGAGCAGGACCAGCCCAGGGAUGUUGAUUGAGAAUAUUAAUUUUUUCCUGUGCAUGGAGCUGGAAUUUACAGAACCCUUGGGUGAGCUGGGUGCCUCUGCAGGCUGGGGGCAGCUGAUCUGGAGGGCAGGGAACAAAAAAUGAUGGUUUGGGUUGGAAAGGGCCCUAAAGCUGCUCCCAUUCCACCCCUGCUAUGGGCAGGGACACUUCCACUGCCCCAGGCUACUCCAAGCCCCAUCCAGCCUGGCCUUGGGCACUGCCAGGGAUCCAGGGGCAGCCACAGGGGAACUGAGGGAUUGUUUUGUGCUCAGGGCACACCCUGUACAGCAGCAGGGAUCUGCAAUCCAGGCUCUGCAUCACCCUGACACUGGCAAGCUCCUUGUCCAUGAAAUGUUUUGGCUCCUUGAAAUUGCAUCCACACACAGAGCAGGACCAGCCCAGGGAUGUUGAUUGGGAAUAUUAAUUUUUAUAGAAAGAACAGCAGCGUUGCUGAAACUUUGCAUGGAGCUGGAAUUUACAGAACCCUUGGCAGCUUCCAGCUGGGUGCCUCUGCAGGCUGGGGGCAGCUGAUUUGGAGGGCAGGGAACAAAAAAAAUGAUGGUUUGGGCUGGAAAGGGCCCUAAAGCUCUUCCCAUUUUACCCCUGCC